rnacentral:rRNA from 1 species
UGGGGAAUAUUGGACAAUGGAGGCAACUCUGAUCCAGCAAUUCUGUGUGUGUGAAGAAGGUUUUAGGACUGUAAAACACUUUUAGUAGGGAAGAAAGAAAUGACGGUACCUACAGAAGAAGCGACGGCUAAAUACGUGCCAGCAGCCGCGGUAAUACGUAUGUCGCGAGCGUUAUCCGGAAUUAUUGGGCUUAAAGGGCAUCUAGGCGGUUAAACAAGUUGAAGGUGAAAACCUGUGGCUCAACCAUAGGCUUGCCUACAAAACUGUAUAACUAGAGAGGAGACGAGGUAGGCGGAAUGUGUGGUGUAGCGGUGAAAUGCAUAGAUAUCACACAGAACUCCGAUUGCGAAGGCAGCUUACCAGGCUUUAUCUGACACUUAGGCACGACAGCGUGGGGAUCAAACAGG